rnacentral:rRNA from 1 species
GAUGAACGCUGGCGGCGUGCCUAAUACAUGCAAGUAGAACGCUGAAGGAAGGAGCUUGCUCUUUCCGGAUGAGUUGCGAACGGGUGAGUAACGCGUAGGUAACCUGCCUGGUAGCGGGGGAUAACUAUUGGAAACGAUAGCUAAUACCGCAUAACAGUAGAUGUUGCAUGAUAUCUACUUAAAAGGUGCAAUUGCACCACUACCAGAUGGACCUGCGUUGUAUUAGCUAGUUGGUGAGGUAACGGCUCACCAAGGCGACGAUACAUAGCCGACCUGAGAGGGUGAUCGGCCACACUGGGACUGAGACACGGCCCAGACUCCUACGGGAGGCAGCAGUAGGGAAUCUUCGGCAAUGGACGGAAGUCUGACCGAGCAACGCCGCGUGAGGGAAGAAGGUUUUCGGAUCGUAAAGCUCUGUUGUAAGAGAAGAACGAGUGUGAGAGUGGAAAGUUCACACUGUGACGGUAUCUUACCAGAAAGGGACGGCUAACUACGUG